rnacentral:rRNA from 1 species
GCCUACGGGACGCAGCAGUGGGGAAUAUUGCACAAUGGGGGAAACCCUGAUGCAGCAACGCCGCGUGAGUGAAGAAGUCAUUCGUGAUGUAAAGCUCUAUCAGCAGGGAAGAAAGAGGACGGUACCUGACUAAGAAGCCCCGGCUAACUACGUGCCAGCAGCCGCGGUAAUACGUAGGGGGCGAGCGUUAUCCGGAUUUACUGGGUGUAAAGGGAGCGUAGACGGCCAUGCAAGCUCGGUGUGAAAGGUACGGGCACAACCCGCAGACUGCACUGAGAACUGUAUGGCUGGAGUGCCGGAGGGGG